rnacentral:rRNA from 1 species
GAUGAACGCUGGCGGCGUGCUUAACACAUGCAAGUCGAACGGGAAACAUUUUAUUGAAGCUUCGGCAGAUUUAGCUUGUUUCUAGUGGCGGACGGGUGAGUAACGCGUGGGUAACCUGCCUUAUACUGGGGGAUAACAGCCAGAAAUGACUGCUAAUACCGCAUAAGCGCACAGAACCGCAUGGUUCAGUGUGAAAAACUCCGGUGGUAUAAGAUGGACCCGCGUUGGAUUAGCUAGUUGGCAGGGCAGCGGCCUACCAAGGCGACGAUCCAUAGCCGGCCUGAGAGGGUGAACGGCCACAUUGGGACUGAGACACGGCCCAGACUCCUACGGGAGGCAGCAGUGGGGAAUAUUGCACAAUGGGGGAAACCCUGAUGCAGCGACGCCGCGUGAAGGAAGAAGUAUCUCGGUAUGUAAACU